rnacentral:rRNA from 1 species
UACGUAGGUGGCAAGCGUUGUCCGGAUUUACUGGGCGUAAAGGGCGUGCAGGCGGUCUGUUAAGCGCAGGGUGAAAGCUCCCGGCUCAACUGGGAGAGGUCCUUGCAUACUGGCGGACUUGAGGGGGGUAGAGGAAAGUGGAAUUCCCGGUGUAGUGGUGAUAUGCGUAGAUAUCGGGAGGAACACCUGUGGCGAAGGCGGCUUUCUGGGCCCUACCUGACGCUGAGACGCGAAAGCGUGGGGAGCGAACCGG